rnacentral:rRNA from 1 species
UAUGGAGAGUUUGAUCCUGGCUCAGGACGAACGCUGGCGGCGUGCCUUACACAUGCAAGUCGUGCGAGAACGGUUCCUUCGGGAACCUAGUAGAGCGGCGAACGGGUGAGUAAUACGUGAGCGAUCUGCCCGAAGGUGGGGGAUACCCCAGGGAAACCUGGACCAAUACCGCGUACAGCGUCGGGAGUGGAUGCCCGACGUGAAAGCCGGCCUCUUCUAUGCUGGCGCCUUCGGAUGAGCUCGCGGCCUAUCAGCUUGUUGGUGGGGUAACGGCCUACCAAGGCUAUGACGGGUAGCUGACGUGAGAGCGUGAUCAGCCACAUUGGGACUGAGACACGGCCCAGACUCCUACGGGAGGCAGCAGUG